UACAGAGGGGGCAAGCGUUGUUCGGAAUUACUGGGCGUAAAGGGCGCGUAGGUGGCCUUCUAAGUUGAACGUGAAAUCCCUGGGCUCAACCCAGGAACUGCGUCCAAGACUGGGAGGCUUGAAUCCGGGAGAGGGAUGCGGAAUUCCAGGUGUAGCGGUGAAAUGCGUAGAUAUCUGGAGGAACACCGGUGGCGAAGGCGGCAUCCUGGACCGGCAUUGACGCUGAGGCGCGAAAGCGUGGGGAGCAAACAGGG
rnacentral:rRNA from 1 species